rnacentral:rRNA from 1 species
AUCAUGGCUCAGAUUGAACGCUGGCGGCAUGCUUUACACAUGCAAGUCGAACGGUAACAGGUUAAGCUGACGAGUGGCGAACGGGUGAGUAAUGCAUCGGAACGUGCCCGAUCGUGGGGGAUAACGCAGCGAAAGCUGCGCUAAUACCGCAUACGAUCUGAGGAUGAAAGCGGGGGACCGUAAGGCCUCGCGCGAUCGGAGCGGCCGAUGUCAGAUUAGGUAGUUGGUGGGGUAAAGGCUCACCAAGCCGACGAUCUGUAGCUGGUCUGAGAGGACGACCAGCCACACUGGGACUGAGACACGGCCCAGACUCCUACGGGAGGCAGCAGUGGGGAAUUUUGGACAAUGGGCGCAAGCCUGAUCCAGCAAUGCCGCGUGCAGGAAGAAGGCCUUCGGGUUGUAAACUGCUUUUGUACGGAGCGAAAAGGCCCUCUCUAAUACAGGGGGUUCAUGACGGUACCGUAAGAAUAAGCACCGGCUAACUACGUG